AUCAAACAGAUAAUAACUUCUAAAAAUAAAACCAAGAAACAAGUCACACGCAAAAAUUUAAAGUAUUUUGCUUUUUUUCCUUUUGAUGAAUCUUGAAUAUUUCGAAGCUCAAAAAGCACAAACAUAAUACAAACACAAGAUGCAAGGGAACAGACAAUCAAACAAGAAUAGAAGAGA
rnacentral:ribozyme from 13 species